rnacentral:rRNA from 1 species
GGUAGCAGGCCUUCGGGUGCUGACGAGUGGCGGACGGGUGAGUAAUGCGUAGGAAUCUGUCUUUUAGUGGGGGACAACCCAGGGAAACUUGGGCUAAUACCGCAUGAGCCCUGAGGGGGAAAGCGGGGGACCUUCGGACCUCGCGCUAAGGGGGGAGCCUACGUCUGAUUAGCUAGUUGGUAGGGUAAAGGCCUACCAAGGCGACGAUCAGUAGCUGGUCUGAGAGGACGACCAGCCACACUGGGACUGAGACACGGCCCAGACUCCUACGGGAGGCAGCAGUGGGGAAUUUUUCGCAAUGGGGGCAACCCUGACGAAGCAAUGCCGCGUGGAUGAAGAAGGCCUUCGGGUUGUAAAGUCCUUUCGUGGGGGACGAAAAGGUGGUUCCUAAUACGAACUGCUGUUGACGUGAACCCAAGAAGAAGCACCGGCUAACUCCGUGCCAGCAGCCGCGGUAAUACGGGGGGUGCAAGCGUUAAUCGGAAUCACUGGGCGUAAAGGGUGCGUAGGCGGUACGUUAGGU